UCAGAGUCGUGUACAUAAUAAUUUAUUUGAAGCUACAAACAUGGAAUAUGAACCACAAGCAUCAAAACAUAUAUAUCAUUUGUCAUUUUUCAUAUAGAAACUAAUACCGAACACGCUGGCCAGCUGGAUGAAAGAGUAAAAUAUAACAAAGUAAAGCGGUCGAGAUUACUGAUUGUGGGGCAGUGAACUGAGGGCGUUGUCGAUCUAGAAUCCCGAACUCGCUAUUUCAAAACGAGGAAGGAUGAACAACCUUUGCUAAAAAUAAAACACGUAUGAAAGUAUUUCAAAGCUAGGAAACUAAUACUUUUUGUGGGUGUUCUUGCAAGUAUUCUGGCCUUUGAGAAAGGUGAAAAUUUUCCAAUGUUCAAAGGUGCUUUUGGCUGAGAGUUUGAGAUGUUUUUAUAGGCCAAAAUUCAGAUUAAGAUAUGUUUGAGCGGGAGUUUGAACAUGGCUGUUUGAAUUCAAAAUGACCGUUCACAAUAAUCCAAAAUAAAGCCAAAGAGAUGCUAAAAUAUCGUUGUAUUCCAGGUCUACAUAUUUCAUGAUAGGCCAAGGAUUUGAAAUCUUUUGAGUGCUCAAAGAGAAAAAGUUGCCUUGAUAUAGAAAGAUGUUGAAAAAAAAUACAAAGAGUGAGAAGAGUUUCACCAAAAUAGAGAAACCAAAAUAUGUCCAUGUUGAAAGCUAAAUGGAGGUUUGCACGUAAAUGGACAAGGAGAAAGUGACAUUUUGGAGAGAAGUGUGGC
rnacentral:lncRNA from 1 species